rnacentral:misc_RNA from 1 species
AACGCACGAGACCUGCGGACCUGCGGAAGGAUCAUUACCGAGUUCGCGCCCUUCCGGGCGGACCUCCCACCCGCUGUCAUCGCUACAAUCGUUGCUUUGGCGGGCCGUUGGGCCCUGCCCGCCGCCGGCCCCAGGCUGGUGCGUGCCCGCCAGAGGCCCCAUAGACUCUAAAUGCUAGUGUCGUCUGAGUACCAUAUAAUAGUCAAAACUUUCAGCAACGGAUCUCUAGAUCGGAAGAGC